rnacentral:lncRNA from 1 species
AAGAUUGGCCCUAAGUGGUUUACCCAACAACUGCCUCUGGAGAUGCAAAAGGAUGAAAAUACAUUUCUGAAUGUUUGGGAAUCAUUCUUAACCCCUAGGCUCCUUUUUUCUUACCGUAACACCACUAAACAUCAAAUUGCUUUGAUAGUUUAUCAACCCAACCUUGUCUCUAGACAGUUUGGUCUAAUCCAAAUCAAACCUCAACCUAUAUU